UCAUCUCUUCUCAAAUCUCGCAGUUAGGAUUUUGUUUCAAAGGGCCUGAUUUUUAUGCACUGGUUGCAUGCAGGGCAGUGCCAUCUUGAUGGGUGGUUAGAUCCCAUACACGGCCACGCCCAAGUAAGAUUUUGUUACAAUACCUAAGCAGUCUGGUGGUGAAAUGAGAAAUUGAAUAAAAAUACAAUCCUAUAUUGGUUCUGUCAACGAGGAAGAUGACUAAAUGGCAGCAAAUUCAGCCUCGUUGCUACUACCCCUCUUAAAUGUCUAGACAUGAAUGAAAGAAUCACAAUCCCACAUAUCUCAAACUCAAAAGCUCUCUCUCUCUCUCUCUCUCUCUCUCUCUCUCUCUCUCUCUCUCUCUCUCUCU